ACGCUAGCUACAGGCUUAACACAUGCAAGUCGAGGGGCAGCGGGUUGAAAGCUUGCUUUCAAUGCCGGCGACCGGCGCACGGGUGCGUAACGCGUAUCAAACCUGCCUCAUACUCGGGGAUAGCCUUGCGAAAGUAAGAUUAAUACCCGAUGUUGUUGCUUUCUCGCAUGGGAGAGUAACCAAAGAUUUAUCGGUAUGAGAUGGUGAUGCGUCCGAUUAGGUAGUAGGCGGGGUAACGGCCCACCUAGCCUUCGAUCGGUAGGGGUUCUGAGGGGAAGGUCCCCCACACUGGAACUGAGACACGGUCCAGACUCCUACGGGAGGCAGCAGUGAGGAAUAUUGGUCAAUGGGCGAGAGCCUGAACCAGCCAAGUAGCGUGCAGGAUGACGGCCCUCCGGGUUGUAAACUGCUUUUAGUUGGGAAUAAAAAAAGGGACUUGUCCCUUCUUGUAUGUACCUUCAGAAAAAGGACCGGCUAAUUCCGUGCCAGCAGCCGCGGUAAUACGGAAGGUCCAGGCGUUAUCCGGAUUUAUUGGGUUUAAAGGGAGCGUAGGCGGAUUGUUAAGUCAGCGGUUAAAGGGUGUGGCUCAACCAUGCAUUGCCGUUGAAACUGGCGAUCUUGAGUGCAGACAGGGAUGCCGGAAUUCGUGGUGUAGCGGUGAAAUGCUUAGAUAUCACGAAGAACUCCGAUCGCGAAGGCAGGUGUCCGGGCUGCAACUGACGCUGAGGCUCGAAAGUGUGGGUAUCAAACAGGAUUAGAUACCCUGGUAGUCCACACAGUAAACGAUGUAUACUCGCGGUUUGCGAUAGAUUGUAAGCCGCCAAGCGAAAGCAUUAAGUAUACCACCUGGGGAGUACGCCGGCAACGGUGAAACUCAAAGGAAUUGACGGGGGCCCGCACAAGCGGAGGAACAUGUGGUU
rnacentral:rRNA from 1 species